UACGGAGGGUGCAAGCGUUAUCCGGAUUUACUGGGUUUAAAGGGUGUGUAGGCGGGCUGUUAAGUCAGUGGUGAAAUCUCCGGGCUCAACCCGGAAACUGCCAUUGAUACUAAUGGUCUUGAAUUUUGUUGAGGUAGGCGGAAUAAGUCAUGUAGCGGUGAAAUGCAUAGAUAUGACUUAGAACACCAAUUGCGAAGGCAGCUUGCUAAACAAAUAUUGACGCUGAGGCACGAAAGCGUGGGGAUCAAACAGG
rnacentral:rRNA from 1 species